CCAUCGGUGGUUCAGUGGUAGAAUGCUCGCCUUCCACACACGGACGGCCCAGGUUCGAUUCCCGGCCGAUGCA
rnacentral:tRNA from 1 species